UACGUAGGGUCCGAGCGUUGUCCGGAGUUACUGGGCGUAAAGUGUGCGCAGGCGGCAGAGCAAGUCGAGUGUGAAAGCCCCGAGCUUAACUUGGGAAUUGCGCUCGAAACUACUUUGCUGGAGUGUGGCAGAGGAAGGUGGAAUUCCAGGUGUAGCGGUGAAAUGCGUAGAGAUCUGGAGGAACACCGAUGGCGAAGGCAGCCUUCUGGGCCAACACUGACGCUCAUGCACGAAAGCGUGGGGAGCAAACAGG
rnacentral:rRNA from 1 species